AUUGAACGCUGGCGGCAGGCCUAACACAUGCAAGUCGAGCGAGCGGCGGACGGGUGAGUAAUGUCUGGGAAACUGACUGAUGGAGGGGGAUAACCACUGGAAACGGGAGGUAAUACCGCAUACAAUCAGAACUGCCCAGAUGGGAUUAGCUAGUUGGUGGGGUAACGGAUCACCUAGGCGACGAUCGCUAGCUGGGCUGAGAGGAUGAACAGCCACACUGGAACGGAGACACGGUCCAGACUCCUACGGGAGGCAGCAGUAGGGAAUAGUGCACAAUGGGCGCAAGCCUGAUGCAGCCAUGCCGCGUGUGUGAAGAAGGUCUUCGGUUUGUAAAGCACUUUCAGUGGGGAGGCGUUACCCGCAGAAGAAGCACCGGCUAACUCCGUGCCAGCAGCCGCGGUAAUUC
rnacentral:rRNA from 1 species